rnacentral:rRNA from 1 species
UGGGGAAUUUUCCGCAAUGGGCGAAAGCCUGACGGAGCAAUACCGCGUGAGGGAGGAAGGCUUUUGGGUUGUAAACCUCUUUUCUCAAGGAAGAACACAAUGACGGUACUUGAGGAAUCAGCAUCGGCUAACUCCGUGCCAGCAGCCGCGGUAAUACGGAGGAUGCAAGCGUUAUCCGGAAUCAUUGGGCGUAAAGCGUCCGCAGGUGGCACAUCAAGUCUGCUGUCAAAGACCGGAGCUCAACUCUGGAAAGGCGGUGGAAACUGGUGAGCUAGAGUACGGUAGGGGUCGAGGGAAUUCCCAGUGUAGCGGUGAAAUGCGUAGAUAUUGGGAAGAACACCAGUGGCGAAAGCGCUCGACUGGACCGUAACUGACACUCAGGGACGAAAGCUAGGGGAGCGAAAGGGAUUAGAUACCCCCGUAGUCC